rnacentral:rRNA from 1 species
CCUACGGGAGGCAGCAGUGGGGAAUUUUGGACAAUGGGGGCAACCCUGAUCCAGCCAUUCCGCGUGAAUGAAGAAGGCCUUCGGGUUGUAAAGCUCUUUCAGCCGGAACGAAACGGUACGCCUUAAUACGGUGUGCUAAUGACGGUACCGGCAGAAGAAGCACCGGCUAACUACGUGCCAGCAGCCGCGGUAAUACGUAGGGUGCGAGCGUUAAUCGGAAUUACUAGGCGUAAAGCGUGCGCAGGCGGAUUGUUAAGCAAGAUGUGAAAUCCCCGGGCUUAACCUGGGAAUGGCAUUUUGAACUGGCAGUCUAGAGUGUGUCAGAGGGGGGUGGAAUUCCACGUGUAGCAAUGAAAUGCGUAGAUAUGUGGAGGAACACCAAUGGCGAAGGCAGCCCCCUGGGAUAACACUGACGCUCAUGUACGAAAGCGUGGGUAGCAAACAGGAUUAGAUACCCUGGUAGUCCACGCCCUAAACGAUGUCAACUGGUUGUUGGGGGAGUGAAAUCCCUUAGUAACGAAGCUAACGCGUGAAGUUGACCGCCUGGGGAGUACGGUCGCAAGAUUAAAACUCAAAGGAAUUGACGGA